rnacentral:rRNA from 1 species
AACGCGUAUGCAAUCUGCCUUUUACUAGGGUAUAGCCCAGAGAAAUUUGGAUUAAUCCCCUAUAAUAUCAUUUAAUCGCAUGAUUUUAUGAUUAAAGCUUCGGCGGUAAAAGAUGAGCAUGCGUCCUAUUAGUUAGUAGGUGAGGUAACGGCUCACCUAGACUCCGAUAGGUAGGGGUCCUGAGAGGGAGAUCCCCCACACUGGUACUGAGACACGGACCAGACUCCUACGGGAGGCAGCAGUGAGGAAUAUUGGACAAUGGACGAAAGUCUGAUCCAGCUAUGCCGCGUGCAGGAUGACGGCCCUAUGGGUUGUAAACUGCUUUUAUACAGGAAGAAAAACUCCGACGUGUCGGAACUUGACGGUACUGUAAGAAUAAGGAUCGGCUAACUCCGUGCCAGCAGCCGCGGUAAUACGGAGGAUCCAAGCGUUAUCCGGAAUCAUUGGGUUUAAAGGGUCCGUAGGCGGUUUUUUAAGUCAGAGGUGAAAUCCUGCAGCUCAACUGUAGAAUUGCCUUUGAUACUGAAAGACUUGAGUUAUUGUGAAGUGGUUAGAAUGUGUGGUGUAGCGGUGAAAUGCAUAGAUAUCACACAGAAUACCAAUUGCGAAGGCAGAUCACUAACAAUAUACUGACGCUCAGGGGCGAAAGCGUGGGUAGCGAACAGGAUUAGAUACCCUGGUAGUCCACGCCGUAAACGAUGGAUACUAGCUGUAUGUCUACCUCAGGUAGAUGUGUGGCU